rnacentral:tRNA from 1 species
GUUCAGUCCCUCUAUCCCCA